CUGGACACGAGCCGCCCGGAUGCGCCCUGCCGCCGCCUCCGCGGUGACCUUGUCUCUGCGUCAGUGUCGCGGAGAAACAGCGACAGACCCGCUGGAGAUGUGACAGCAGAGGAGGGCCUUUGAUAACAAUCAAACCCCUGCCUCUGGGAGAGUCCAGCUUUCGCCCGGCUGGACGCCGGGGCUUCCAGAGGAGCGGUUCUGUCCCGUAGAGCAGUCACCUGUUGUCAACCGGGAGCCCAUUCUUGCGCGCUCGGAACAGGCGAAGUUGUAAGGCGGAGUACGCGCUCAAAAAGGCGGGGCUUUUAGCCUAAAAACAAGCCUCUUUACGUUUAGAAAAGACGAAUUUCCCACAAUGACCUACCACCCACCUCGUGGCGCUCAGGAGUGCGGCUCGCUGGAGACCGCGGUGGAGGACGCUACUUGAAAAGUUGCUGAGGAAAGAGAACAAAAGCAUUUGUCAACGUAGGGCAGGUAGCGAAGGGAAGCUUUGUGAAAUAUUAGACGCCCCAGCAGAGCGGGAGAAAAUCUUGGACUCUUCAGUGCUAGAUUUUUGCCACCCUGAACUACUUGCAGCUUUAAUUGCAUGCUAGCAGAGAUAAGAAAGUAAAAACCCGGAGACUGCCUCUUUCAGGAACCAAGUUCAUG
rnacentral:lncRNA from 1 species